CACGUAGGGCGCAAGCGUUGUCCGGAAUUAUUGGGCGUAAAGAGCUCGUAGGCGGUCUGUUGCGUCCGCUGUGAAAACUCGGGGCUUAACCCCGAGCCUGCAGUGGAUACGGGCAGACUAGAGGUAGGUAGGGGAGAAUGGAAUUCCCGGUGUAGCGGUGAAAUGCGCAGAUAUCGGGAGGAACACCGGUGGCGAAGGCGGUUCUCUGGGCCUUACCUGACGCUGGAGGAGACGAAGCGUGGGGAGCGAACAGG
rnacentral:rRNA from 1 species